rnacentral:rRNA from 1 species
UACAGAGGUGGCAAGCGUUGUUCGGAAUUACUGGGCGUAAAGGGCGCGUAGGCGGCCAUCUAAGUCAGACGUGAAAUCCCUCAGCUUAACUGGGGAACUGCGUGUGAUACUGGAUGGCUUGGAUUUGGGAGAGGAUGCGGAAUUCCAGGUGUAGCGGAUGAAAUGCGUAGAUAUCUGGAGGAACACCGGUGGCGAAGGCGGCAUCCUGGACCAAUAUUGACGCUGAGGAGCGAAAGCUAGGGGAGCAAACGGG